GUACGCGGGGCGUCUGGAACUUAAAGGGGCAGCGUACCUUGGCCGUCCCGUUCCACAACAAGGUCCCUUCUGCGGUCUCAAAGGCUUAUAAGCAAGGGCGGGGGCAGAGGGCUAAAGAAGGGAGUUUUUGCGGCCCGAGUGGGUAAUGCGUGGAGGACUCCCCCAACUCGUCUCUCAAGGAAAAGGGGGUUCAGAAAGGGAGAGAGUUCUUCCCCCUCUCCUGCCUGGGUGUCGCUCCACCAGCCUCCUGGCCGUCGCGCCCCCUCCUCACUGCGCCACCCCCGGGUGUGCCUCCUUCCCUGCGUCUCACACAGCCCCUUUCUUGUCCGCAAAGACUGAGGAGCGGGGAGGGCGGGCCCUCUGACACCGGAACAGGAGCCGUGCGGCGUCCGGAGACGGGGUUUCACCAUGUUGGCUAGGCUGGUCUCAAACUCCUGAGCUCGUGAUCCUCCCGCCUCAGCCUCCCAAAGUGCUGGGAUUAUAGGUGUGAGCCACCGCACCCAGCCUUGGUUCUCCCUUUCUUCAUCUGGAUAAGGAAGGCUGGACUGCACCUUCUCUACAGGCUGAGUUGGACAUUCGCAGAUCUACCCUCCCAACCUGCAUUCUGCCUCAAGCAGCAACGCCCACCCCAGGCUCAGGCCACAUGGAGAAGCCACCCCUAGUUCCAGUGGUGGAUGUGGCACCUCGGCCUGGCCAAUCAGAGCUCCCUUGUCCUAGGUUCCUAGUGAUUGGUUUGAGAUGGACACGUGACCCAAUGAGCGACCUUUCCUGGGAGUUCUACCAGGAGCAUCAGGAAGGUUGAGCUGGGUGUAUGGGAACCAGGCCGGGGCGAGGGGUUCCGGGGGGACCUGAGAACAUUGUGUGGAGCCCUGGAUCCAACUGUACCUGACACUAGCCAAUUUCAUUUCUUCAGUUUCAUGGACCCCUAAAUUAUGAUUUUUGCCAAAAU
rnacentral:lncRNA from 1 species